UACAGAGGUCCCAAGCGUUGUUCGGAUUCACUGGGCGUAAAGGGUGCGUAGGUGGUGAGGUAAGUCGGAUGUGAAAUCUCCGGGCUCAACCCGGAAAUGGCAUUGGAAACUACCUUGCUGGAGGAUUUGAGGGGGGAUUGGAAUACUUGGUGUAGCAGUGGAAUGCGUAGAUAUCAAGUGGAACACCAGUGGCGAAGGCGAAUCCCUGGAAAAUACCUGACACUGAGGCACGAAAGCUAGGGGAGCAAACAGG
rnacentral:rRNA from 1 species